rnacentral:rRNA from 1 species
AUUGAACGCUGGCGGCAGGCCUAACACAUGCAAGUCGAGCGGAUGCAGGGAGCUUGCUCCUGGAUUCAGCGGCGGACGGGUGAGUAAUGCCUAGGAAUCUGCCUGGUCGUGGGGGAUAACGUCCGGAAACGGGCGCUAAUACCGCAUACGUCCUGAGGGAGAAUGUGGGGGAUCUUCGGACCUCACGCUAUCAGAUGAGCCUAGGUCGGAUUAGCUAGUUGGUGGGGUAACGGCCUACCAAGGCUACGAUCCGUAACUGGUCUGAGAGGAUGAUCAGUCACACGGGAAGUGAGACACGGUCCAGACUCUUACGGGAGGAAGCAGUGGGGAAUAUUGGGGAAGGGGCGAAAGCCUGAUCCAGCAAUGCCGCGUGUGUGAAGAAGGUCUUCGGAUGGUAAAGCACUUUAAGUUGGGAGGAAGGGCAGUAAGUUAAUACCUGGCUGUAUUGACGUUACCAGCAGAAUAAGCACCGGCUAACUUCGUG